rnacentral:tRNA from 1 species
GGAUAUAUAGCUCAAGUGGUAGAGUACAUGCUUAGCAUGCAGGAGGUUCCUGGAUUCAAUCCCCAGUACCUCCU